AUUGAACGCUGGCGGCAGGCCUAACACAUGCAAGUCGAGCGAGCGGCGGACGGGUGAGUAAUGUCUGGGAAACUGCCUGAUGGAGGGGGAUAACUACUGGAAACGGUAGCUAAUACCGCAUACCAUCAGAUGUGCCCAGAUGGGAUUAGCUAGUAGGUGGGGUAACGGCCCACCUAGGCGACGAUCCCUAGCUGGUCUGAGAGGAUGAACAGCCAAACUGGAACUGGGACAAGGUCCAGACUCCUACGGGAGGAAGCAGGGGGGAAACAUCCGAAAUGGGCGAAAGGCUUACGGAGCAACGGCGCGUGAGAGAUGACGGCCUUCGGGUUGUAAAGGUCGUUAAGCGGGACGACGUUACCGGAAGAGAAAGCAACGGCUAACUACGUGCCAGCAGCCGCGGUAAUAC
rnacentral:rRNA from 1 species